rnacentral:lncRNA from 1 species
UUUUGCCAUCUUUCAUGUCUGACCAGGCUCUAGGGGAUCCACAGCACUAAUUCAACUGCCUCGAUCCACUGGGGAGUUGGACAUCUCUAAUGAAGAGGUUUCCUGUAAGUGUGAUGAUGGUGGAGUACAAAUCCAGGAAAUGCAGCUGAAUAAACACUGGAGCAGCCUCAACAAGGGAAAGAGAAACUGGAGAAUGC